rnacentral:misc_RNA from 1 species
UUUCCGUAGGUGAACCUGCGGAAGGAUCAUUAACGAAUUUCAAGUCGGUCGAUUGUGCUGGCGGCAACGCACGUGCACGUCGAUCGCAAACCCAAUCCACACACCUGUGAACGUAUGGCCUCGGAGUUUACUCUCGGGGCACACCAUUUUUACCUACUCUGUGAUAGAAUGUGACCUGUGCCAAAAGCACAAAAACUUAACAACUUUCAACAACGGAUCUCUUGGCGCUCGCAUCGAUGAAGAACGCAGC